rnacentral:rRNA from 1 species
UACGUAGGUGGCGAGCGUUGUCCGGAAUUACUGGGUGUAAAGGGCGUGUAGGCGGGAAUGCAAGUCAGAUGUGAAACUCCGGGGCUUAACUUCGGAACUGCAUCUGAAACUGUGUUUCUUGAGUGCUGGAGAGGAAAGCGGUAUUCCUAGUGUAGCGGUGAAAUGCGUAGAUAUUAGGAGGAACACCAGUGGCGAAGGCGGCUUUCUGGACAGUAACUGACGCUGAGGCGCGAAGGUCAGGGGAGCAAACGGG